rnacentral:rRNA from 1 species
GAUGAACGCUGGCGGCGUGCCUAAUACAUGCAAGUCGAGCGAACAGACGAGGAGCUUGCUCCUCUGACGUUAGCGGCGGACGGGUGAGUAACACGUGGAUAACCUACCUAUAAGACUGGGAUAACUUCGGGAAACCGGAGCUAAUACCGGAUAAUAUAUUGAACCGCAUGGUUCAAUAGUGAAAGACGGUUUUGCUGUCACUUAUAGAUGGAUCCGCGCCGCAUUAGCUAGUUGGUAAGGUAACGGCUUACCAAGGCAACGAUGCGUAGCCGACCUGAGAGGGUGAUCGGCCACAUGGGAACGGAGACACGGUCCAGACUCCUACGGGAGGCAGCAGUAGGGAAUCUUCCGCAAAGGGCGAAAGCCUGACGGAGCAACGCCGCGUGAGUGAUGAAGGUCUUCGGAUCGUGAAACUCUGUUAUUAGGGAAGAACAAAUGUGUAAGUAACUAUGCACGUCUUGACGGUACCUAAUCAGAAAGCCACGGCUAACUACGUG